rnacentral:rRNA from 1 species
GCUGAAGAGAGGAGCUUGCUCUUCUUGGAUGAGUUGCGAACGGGUGAGUAACGCGUAGGUAACCUGCCUUGUAGCGGGGGAUAACUAUUGGAAACGAUAGCUAAUACCGCAUAACAAUGGAUGACACAUGUCAUUUAUUUGAAAGGGGCAAUUGCUCCACUACAAGAUGGACCUGCGUUGUAUUAGCUAGUAGGUGAGGUAACGGCUCACCUAGGCGACGAUACAUAGCCGACCUGAGAGGGUGAUCGGCCACACUGGGACUGAGACACGGCCCAGACUCCUACGGGAGGCAGCAGUAGGGAAUCUUCGGCAAUGGGGGCAACCCUGACCGAGCAACGCCGCGUGAGUGAAGAAGGUUUUCGGAUCGUAAAGCUCUGUUGUAAGUCAAGAACGAGUGUGAGAGUGGAAAGUUCACACUGUGACGGUAGCUUACCAGAAAGGGACGGCUAACUACGUGCCAGCAGCCGCGGUAAUACGUAGGUCCCGAGCGUUGUCCGGAUUUAUUGGGCGUAAAGCGAGCGCAGGCGGUUUGAUAAGUCUGAAGUUAAAGGCUGUGGCUCAACCAUAGUUCGCUUUGGAAACUGUCAAACUUGAGUGCAGAAGGGGAGAGUGGAAUUCCAUGUGUAGCGGUGAAAUGCGUAGAUAUAUGGAGGAACACCGGUGGCGAAAGCGGCUCUCUGGUCUGUAACUG